rnacentral:rRNA from 1 species
AUACGUAGGGUGCAAGCGUUAAUCGGAAUUACUGGGCGUAAAGCGUGCGCAGGCGGUUUUGUAAGACAGAGGUGAAAUCCCCGGGCUCAACCUGGGAACUGCCUUUGUGACUGCAAGGCUAGAGUACGGCAGAGGGGGAUGGAAUUCCGCGUGUAGCAGUGAAAUGCGUAGAUAUGCGGAGGAACACCGAUGGCGAAGGCAAUCCCCUGGGCCUGCACUGACGCUCAUGCGCGAAAGCGUGGGGAGCAAACAGGAUUAGAUACCCUGGUAGUCCACGCCCUAAACGAUGUCAACUGGUUGUUGGGGAUUUAUUUUCUCAGUAACGAAGCUAACGCGUGAAGUUGACCGCCUGGGGAGUACGGCCGCAAGGUUAAAACUCAAAUGAAUUGACGGGG